rnacentral:rRNA from 1 species
CCUACGGGAGGCUGCAGUGAGGAAUAUUGGUCAAUGGACGCAAGUCUGAACCAGCCAAGCCGCGUGCAGGAAGAAGGCGCAAAGAGUUGCAAACCGCUUUUGUACGAGGGUAAACGCAGAUACGCGUAUCUGUCUGAAAGUAUCGUAAGAAAAAGGAUCGGCUAACUCCGUGCCAGCAGCCGCGGUAAUACGGAGGAUUCCAGCGUUAUCCGGAUUUAUUGGGUUUAAAGGGUGCGUAGGCGGUCCGAUAAGUUAGAGGUGAAAUCCCGGGGCUCAACUUCGGAAUUGCCUCGGAUACUGUUCGGCUAGAGAGUGGUUGAGGUAUGCGGAAUGUAUGGUGUAGCGGUGAAAUGCUUAGAGAUCGUGCAGAACCCCGAUUGCGAAGGCAGCGUGCCAUGCUACUUCUGACGUUGAGGCACGAAAGCGCGGGGAGCAAACAGGAUUAGAUACCCGAGUAGUC